ACACAUUUAGCGACAGUUAUAUAUCACCAUUGCUAAAGAUUUAUUUAGUGGCAGUUGCAACAACCGCUACUCUUUUUGCAAUGAAACAUCAUUUCUAAAAUGUUAGUGGCGAAUGUCAAGCCACUCAUCUCCGCCAGGCCAGGCUCUGACUCCCGGUAAUUGCUUGCAAAUGGGCUCUCGAGUAUGCCUACAAGGGAAGAAAAAACUUUCUCACAACAGAAUAGUUGGAUUUCCGGUACUUUGAAAGUUUCUAAAAAAAAUUAAAGUAAUUGUAGACUCUUUGAAAUCAUGUGUAUAAACUUCUAUUUGAUGGUAAAUCACAAUCUUAAGUGAAUAAAUA